CAUUGUGGGGCGGGAGCGCCGAGUCGGGGGAGGGACGUCGAGACGCCAUUUUCGGCGGCGGGAGCGGCGGAGCCGGAGCAGAGCUGGAGCCGGCGGGCGCAGGGCGGCGGCUACGGGGAGGAGCCGCGGGAGACAGCGCUCGCGGGCGGCCGAGGAUGCUGCGGGGCGGCCGCGCCAGCGCCCCUCGCUCGUGACCGCGGCGCCGCUCCUGAGGCAGCCGAGGCGGAGGGCCCCGCGCAUUCCUGCUCCGCGCACGCGCCCCGCGACCUCCCGGUGCUGACAGCGCGAGCGCGCGGCCCCGCGGGAGCAGCACGAAUGUAUGACAACAUGUCCACAAUGGUGUAUAUAAAGGAAGACAAGUUGGAGAAGCUUACACAGGAUGAGAUUAUUUCUAAGACAAAGCAAGUGAUUCAGGGGCUGGAAGCUCUGAAGAACGAGCAUAAUUCCAUUUUACAAAGUUUACUGGAAACACUGAAGUGUUUGAAGAAAGAUGAUGAAAGUAAUCUGGUGGAGGAGAAAUCAAACAUGAUCCGGAAGUCACUGGAAAUGCUGGAGCUUGGCCUGAGUGAGGCACAGGUUAUGAUGGCUUUGUCCAAUCACCUGAAUGCUGUCGAGUCGGAGAAACAGAAGCUGCGGGCACAGGUUCGUCGCCUGUGCCAGGAGAAUCAGUGGCUGCGGGAUGAAUUGGCCAACACGCAGCAGAAAUUACAGAAGAGUGAGCAAUCUGUGGCUCAACUGGAGGAAGAAAAGAAGCAUCUGGAAUUCAUGAAUCAGUUAAAAAAAUACGAUGAUGACAUCUCUCCAUCCGAGGACAAAGACACUGAUUCCACCAAAGAACCUCUGGAUGACCUUUUCCCAAAUGAUGACGACGAACCCGGCCAAGGAAUCCAGCAGCAGCACAGCAGUGCAGCGGCCGCGGCGCAGCAGGGCGGCUACGAGAUCCCGGCGCGCCUGCGCACUCUGCACAACCUGGUCAUCCAGUACGCCUCCCAGGGGCGCUACGAGGUGGCCGUGCCGCUCUGCAAGCAGGCCCUGGAGGACCUGGAGAAGACUUCGGGCCACGACCACCCGGACGUGGCUACCAUGCUGAACAUCCUGGCCUUGGUGUACAGAGACCAGAAUAAAUACAAAGAUGCCGCAAAUCUACUGAACGAUGCCUUGGCCAUCCGUGAAAAAACUUUGGGCAAAGAUCAUCCCGCGGUGGCGGCCACUCUGAAUAACCUUGCAGUGCUGUACGGCAAGAGAGGGAAGUACAAAGAGGCCGAGCCGCUGUGUAAAAGAGCCCUGGAGAUCAGAGAAAAGGUUUUGGGAAAGGAUCACCCCGACGUUGCUAAGCAGCUGAACAACUUGGCCUUACUGUGCCAGAAUCAGGGCAAAUAUGAGGAAGUAGAGUAUUAUUAUCAAAGAGCCCUCGAGAUCUACCAAACAAAACUGGGGCCUGAUGACCCCAAUGUGGCCAAAACGAAAAAUAACCUGGCCUCCUGCUAUCUGAAGCAAGGAAAAUUCAAGCAAGCAGAAACACUGUACAAAGAGAUUCUCACUCGUGCACACGAAAGGGAGUUCGGUUCUGUGGAUGAUGAAAAUAAACCCAUUUGGAUGCACGCUGAAGAAAGAGAAGAAUGCAAAGGAAAGCAAAAGGAUGGGACAUCUUUUGGAGAAUAUGGCGGCUGGUACAAAGCCUGCAAAGUUGAUAGUCCGACUGUUACAACUACUUUGAAAAACCUCGGGGCACUUUAUAGACGACAAGGCAAAUUUGAAGCUGCGGAAACAUUGGAAGAAGCAGCCAUGAGGUCCCGUAAACAGGGUCUUGACAAUGUUCACAAACAGAGAGUAGCUGAAGUGCUGAAUGACCCUGAGAACAUGGAGAAGCGGAGAAGCCGGGAGAGCCUGAACGUGGACGUGGUCAAGUACGAGAGCGGCCCUGACGGAGGGGAGGAAGUGAGUAUGAGCGUAGAGUGGAACGGGGACGGCACUGGAUCUUUAAAGCGCAGUGGCUCCUUUAGCAAACUCCGGGCUUCCAUUAGACGCAGCAGUGAGAAGCUGGUUAGGAAGCUGAAGGGAGGAAGUUCUCGAGAGAGUGAGCCAAGGAACCCCGGCAUGAAGCGUGCCAGUUCUCUGAGUGUCCUUAACGUGGGUGGCAAGGCAGCCGAAGACCGUGGUUUCCAAGAACGAAAUGAUUGUCUGGCAGACUCGUGAGCUCCGAGUGCCAGCCACACUGACCUGGCCCACUGAGGGUCGGGGCAGAGCUAGAUAAAAAUCCCCGAGACUUAACGGGGACACUGAGACCCUCAGAGCUUUGCCAAGCUCCUCUACUCUGCCCGGGACUCCCCUCCCCAGUGACUUCCUUUUCUAGGUAGUGACCUCUAUCACCUCGUGGGGGUUUGCCCCGAAUUCCGUUAAGCUGCCUGCAGUCCUAGCGAGCUAGAGCUGCUGGAGCGUGAGACUGGCCAGGCGUGGCGCCGGCGGCCUCAGCAUGUUUGGGACCGGCCGCUGUUCACGGACACUUGUACUUUCUGCCGCUACGCCAAGAUCUGUUUUCAGUUUUAGUAUUGUAUUAAGGCUAUAAAUGAAGACUCCGGAACCGUAAACUGCAUCUUUCUAGAAUGAGUAUCUGAUGGUCUGGGGCCAUGCUGCCUGGAAUUAAGAGGACAGUUGGUGCUCAGAGCUGGGAGAGACAGGGUUAGAACGGUUCCCAAUCCCUAAGGGAAUCUGCCAGACUAACUGGCCGGUGAAGAAAACACUGCACAAAUACUGUUUGUAAUUCCGGAUGACAGCAGCUGUAGGAGGGGGCGCGUCCAGGCCACCGAGCUGGAGUAGGAUGACUCAUCACUUAGCUCUGAAGGGGAUCUGAAGAACUUGGGGUACCCUGUGAGAUGCUGCACGUUUGGACUUUCUUUUAAUGUUAUGUUACCGGAGGGGUCACAGCAAGGGCACUUGCUGCCCCCCCCAGCCCCCGGCUCAGAAAUUGCACUGUGCUGGGGUCCAUGCUCCCCGGGGGCCCUCCGGCGGGGCUCACCGGGCACCUCGGCACUCGCUGUACAGACUCCCUGGGGGUCCCCACGGGGGCACCCACCUGCUGCACGUGUCCUUCAGGCCAGGCGUGGAUUUGGGGCUGCGGGCCGGAGGCGGCAGCAUGCCGGGGUCUGGGGGCUUUGUUGACAGGUGUCCUGUGAUAAUACCAGAGCACGUGGCCUAGACCACCUGUUUGGGACACUGCUCGCUCCCUCCCGGAGGCCAGUGUGCGGUGCCUGGGCCCGGUCUUCUGUGGCCGCGCCUCCUUCCUCAGCGCCUGGCCGGCUGGGCUUUGCAGCCCCCGGCUUUGUAACCGUUGUUCACUCUGCAGGCUGCGAGAGACCGCCGCCGACAGAGUGGGCUGUGUGUCCACGCGGGCACUGUGCACUUUGAAGUUCCUGUUUGAGGGGCGGGGGAGCAUGGUGUCACCUGUGGAGCGGGACAAGGGCUGUCCCGUCUCCCCUGUCCCCUCCAUCGGAAGUGCUCUUCCAGCCACGACGCUGAUCCGAUACAUUGGAAACCUACCCCCUUUCCCUUAGUGACACGUCUCCCUGGGAAACCAGGGCAUUCAGGAAGGAUACACGUGGGGCCAGGGGUAGGAUUUAAGCUCCCAUGUGGGGGAAACGGGGCCCUGCCUGUGAGCCCGCCAGCCCCCUUCUCUGAAGGCCAGCUUGCCUUUGUGGGGCUGUGAGGAGCCACACAGCCUCCUUACACCGCGUUGUAAGAAACCGUCAUGUUUCAGAGGGGACGCUGCCUGGAAAUGUGUAAUUUCUGAUUUUUGAGCUUGUAUCAAAACAAGUGAGCCUGGUUGUCCUCUGCUCAUUUGGCCGUCUGGAUUUUAAUGUUCUCGAGGAGGAGAAGCAGUGGGGGCGGCCGGCCCUCCUCUUCAGUGUUUUCCUCUCCCGGCGAGGGGGCCUCGGGCCAGCACCCGUUCCGCAUCGCUCCCGUCGAGUUAGAGGUCCCUGGCCAGAGGACAGGCAGGAAGUGACGUGAGCCGGCUCUGUGGGUCUGAGGGGGAGGUUGUGGGAGGGCUGGGCCGUCCGCCCUCGGCUCUCCCCAGGGUCUCUGUGUUUACAGUACUGGAGGGAGUCAGGUAGUUCUUUCCCGGAAUUCGAAGAGAUUCCUGUCAUGUUUGGUCAGAAAGCCGCUAGGAAUAUCACGUAAUGAGAAAUUCAGUGUUUACAGUAACCUAUAAAUAUUGCUAAAAAUAGUUUAUAGACAGCUCUUUCAUGGUCAUAACUUCAUAGAAUAUUCUUGGGAAGCAGGUGCAUACAUGAGGCUAUACUCUGGUAUGUUUGCACUUGCUGUUGAGCAGUGCACUGCAUGACCAUCAGACUUCUGAAAAUUGCCAAGUGCUACUUGAUAACAGCGAUCGAAGGAGAGGCUCCAGCCAGCUGCGGGCGUCUCGUCAGGGCUCCCAAGCAUCAUAUGGGUGGCUGGGGCGGUCAUGAAGACGUGUCAUUUUGCAUUUGUCCCAUUAUUAUGGGGGGAACUGACGUGGCUUCUACAGUGUUGUGGACGUAACCAUGGGGACCACCAGCCCUGGGGGUGGGGGGUGGGGGGUGUGGGCAGGGAACUCCUUAGGGGGUCCAGGGCGGUCUGUCACUGAGACAAAAGUCCUGCUGCAGCCCUGUCCCUCGCCUGUGGUGGGCAGGCACCGUGCACCGGCACCCUGCACCCUUCAUGCUCCAGUGGGCCUGCAGCUUCUGGGGAGGGGCUCGUUAGCACAUUCGGUCUUGGGCUGUGGUUUGCUCAUUGUUGGUGUGAUUUGCCUAGAAAAUCAUCCGGAAUUGUUUGUAUUUAAUUACGAUAAUAAAAUGGUUUAUUUCCUUUUGCAAAGUC